UACGUAGGGUGCGAGCGUUGUCCGGAAUUAUUGGGCGUAAAGAGCUCGUAGGCGGUUUGUCGCGUCGGCUGUGAAAACUCGGGGCUCAACCCCGAGCCUGCAGUCGAUACGGGCAAACUAGAGUGUGGUAGGGGAGACUGGAAUUCCUGGUGUAGCGGUGAAAUGCGCAGAUAUCAGGAGGAACACCGGCGGCGAAGGCGGGUCUCUGGGCCGAUACUGACGCUGAGGAGCGAAAGCGUGGGGAGCGAACAGG
rnacentral:rRNA from 1 species